UCAGUAUAGGAGGUCCAGCCUGCCCAGUGACCACAAGUUCAACGGCCGCGGUAUUUUGACCGUGCAAAGGUAGCGCAAUCACUUGUCUUUUAAAUAGAGACCUGUAUGAAUGGCUAAACGAGGGCUUAACUGUCUCCCCUUUCAAGUCAGUGAAAUUGAUCUACCCGUGCAGAAGCGGGUAUAACAAUACAAGACGAGAAGACCCUUUGGAGCUUAAGGUACAAAACUCAACCACGUCAAACAACUCAAUAAAAAGUAAAAACUUUGUGAAACAUGAGACUUUACCUUCGGUUGGGGCGACCACGGAGGAAAAAAAAGCCUCCAAGUGGACCGGGACAAACUCCUUAAACCAAGAGAGACAUCUCUAAGCCACAGAACAUCUGACCAAGCAUGAUCCGGCCACCAGGACCGAUCAACGAACCAAGUUACCCUAGGGAUAACAGCGCAAUCCCCUCCCAGAGUCCAUAUCGACGAGGGGGUUUACGACCUCGAUGUUGGAUCAGGACAUCCUAAUGGUGCAGCCGCUAUUAAGGGUUCGUUUGUUCAACGAUUAAAGUCCUACGUGAUCUGAGUUCAGACCGGA
rnacentral:rRNA from 1 species